rnacentral:rRNA from 1 species
AAUAGAUACCCCGGUAGUCCACGCCCUAAACGAUGCUCACUAGGUGUUGGGGAAGCGAUUCCUUGGUACCGUAGCUAACGCGUGAAGUGAGCCGCCUGGGGAGUACGGCCGCAAGGUUAAAACUCAAAGGAAUUGACGGGGACCCGCACAAGCGGUGGAUGAUGUGGAUUAAUUCGAUGCAACGCGAACAACCUUACCUACCCUUGACAUGUCCGGAAGCCUGCUGAAAGGCGGGGGUGCUCGAAAGAGAACCGGAACACAGGUGCUGCAUGGCUGUCGUCAGCUCGUGUCGUGAGAUGUUGGGUUAAGUCCCGCAACGAGCGCAACCCUUGUCCCUAGUUGCUACGCAAGGGCACUCUAGGGAGACUGCCGGUGACAAACCGGAGGAAGUGGGGAUGACGUCAAGUCCUCAUGGCCCUUAUGGGUAGGGCUUCACACGUCAUACAAUGGACGGUACAGAGGGUUGCCAACCCGCGAGGGGGAGCCAAUCCCAGAAAGCCGUUCGUAGUCCGGAUCGCAGUCUGCAACUCGACUGCGUGAAGUCGG